UCGGGAAUUUUGGGCAAUGGGCGAAAGCCUGACCCAGCAACGCCGCGUGAAGGAUGAAGUAUUUCGGUAUGUAAACUUCGUAAGAAUAGGAAGAAUAAAUGACGGUACUAUUUGUAAGGUCCGGCUAACUACGUGCCAGCAGCCGCGGUAAUACGUAGGGACCAAGCGUUGUUCGGAUUUACUGGGCGUAAAGGGCGCGUAGGCGGUGUGUCAAGUCAGUUGUGAAAUCUCCGAGCUUAACUCGGAACGGUCAACUGAUACUGUCACACUAGAGUACAGAAGGGGCAAUCGGAAUUCUUGGUGUAGCGGUGAAAUGCGUAGAUAUCAAGAGGAACACCUGAGGCGAAGGCGAGUUGCUAGGCUGACACUGACGCUGAGGUACGAAAGCGUGGGGAGCAAACAGGAUUAGAUACCCUAGUAGUCCCUGAGCGGGCUGGCAAGGCGCAU
rnacentral:rRNA from 1 species